UGGCCGCUAUCCCUAUAAAUAUCUCAACAAAGUAGUAGCUUUAGUUCAUUAGUUGUUUGUGCUUCACUAGUCAUCUAAACAAAACCAAACACCUUUCCUUUGGCCUCUCCUCCUUUUAUCUUUUAUAUCAAUCCUCAUCUUCAAUAACACCACUCUCAAAACAAAUGAGAAACUUAUUCCCCAUAUUUAUGUUAAUCACCAAUCUAGCAUUCAACGACAACAACAACAGUAAUAAUAUCAUCAACACGACCUGCAGAGCCACCACAAACUACCCCUUGUGCCUCACCACCCUCCACUCUGAUCCCCGUACCUCCGAGGCCGAGGGGGCGGACCUCACCACCCUCGGCCUCGUCAUGGUAGAUGCGGUAAAAUUAAAGUCCAUCGAAAUAAUGAAAAGUAUAAAAAAACUCGAAAAAUCGAACCCCGAGUUGAGACUACCUCUUAGCCAAUGUUACAUAGUGUAUUAUGCUGUUCUACAUGCUGAUGUAACUGU
rnacentral:lncRNA from 1 species